rnacentral:rRNA from 1 species
ACGGCGAGUGAAGCGGCAACAGCUCAAAUUUGAAAUCUGGCUCCCCCCCGGGGUCCGAGUUGUAAUUUGCAGAAGGUGCCUCGGGCGAGACGUCAGUCUAAGUUCCCUGGAACGGGGCGUCACAGAGGGUGAGAAUCCCGUACGCGACCCGGCGUCGACCCCGUGCGAGGCCCUUUCGACGAGUCGAGUUGUUUGGGAAUGCAGCUCAAAAUGGGUGGUAAAUUUCAUCUAAAGCUAAAUACCGGCCAGAGACCGAUAGCGCACAAGUAGAGUGAUCGAAAGAUGAAAAGCACUUUGGAAAGAGAGUUAAACAGUAUGUGAAAUUGUUGAAGGGGAAGCGCUUGCAGCCAGACUCGCGCGCGGGUGAUCAAUCUCCCCCCGGGGCGAUGCACUCUCCCGCGCUCGGGCCAGCAUCGGUUUCGACCGCCGGACGAAGGCCCGGGGAAUGUGACUCCCCCCGGGGAGUGUUAUAGCCCCGGGCGGAAUGCGGCGAGUUGGGACCGAGGAUCGCGCUUAGGCUAGGAUGCUGGCGUAAUGGCUGCCAGCGACCCGUCUUGAAACACGGACCAAGGAGUCGACCAACCAUGCGAGUGUUUGGGCUUCAAACCCACGCGCGCAAUGAAAGUGAACGGAGGUGGGAACCCCCCGGGGCGCACCAUCGACCGAUCCUGAUGUCUUCGGAUGGAUUUGAGUACGAGCACGGCUGGUCGGACCCGAAAGAUGGUGAACUAUACGUGAAUAGGGUGAAGCCAGAGGAAACUCUGGUGGAGGCUCGCAGCGGUUCUGACGUGCAAAUCGAUCGUCAAAUUUGCGUAUAGGGGC